GCGGCGGCGGGGCGGGGGCGGGGGCCGGGGCCGGGACGCGGCGCGGGAGCAUGGAGCCUCGGGCCGGCUGCCGGCUGCCGGUGCGGGUGGAGCAGGUCGUCAACGGCGCGCUGCUGGUCACCGUGAGCUGCGGCGAGCGCAGCUUCGCCGGGAUCCUGCUGGACUGCACGAAAAAGUCCGGCCUGUUUGGCCUGCCCCUGUCGGCCCCGCUGCCCCAGCCCGAGGACCCCCCAGUCAACGGCUGCCACGGCCCGGCCCCCGCAGAGCAGGACGGAGAGGCAAUGCAGCUGGGGACAGUCCCUCCACCGCCUCCCGACGGGGACCAGCCCCCCGAGACUGCAGACCCCAAGCCACCGCUCGUGCCCCCGUUCCCGCCGUAUUUCGAAGGCGCCCCCUUCCCUCCCCCGCUCUGGCUAAGAAGCACCUACCGGCAGUGGGUGCCACAGCCGCCCCCCCGGACCAUCAAGAGGACACGCCGGCGUCUGUCCCGCAACCGUGACCCGGGUCGGCUGGCCCUGAGCCCCAUCCGCCUGCGGCCGCGCCAAGUACUCUGUGAGAAGUGCAAGAGCACGCUGAGCCCCCCCGAGGCCAGCCCCGGCCCCCCGGGUGCCCCGAGGCCGCGCAGGAGGGUGGGCAGCGGCCCUGGCUUUGACAGCGAGCCCCGCAAGCCGGAGGACCCGGCCGGCGGCGGCGACCCCGCGGCCACCACGAGGAGGAGCAAGAGGGAGAAGCGAGAGGAGGACAAGGCCCGGGUGCCACGGAGCCCGGCCAUCAAGAUCUCCUACAGCACGCCCCAGGGCACGGGCGAGGUCGUGGAGAUCCCCUCCCGCGUGCACGGGUCCCUCGAGCCCUUCUGCCCCUCCCAGGCCCUGCACGGCGGCGGCCAGGACCCCAGCGGGCCCAGCGCCUCCAUCCCCAAGCUGAAGCUGACGCGCCCCGGGCCCCCUGGCGCCCGCCUGCCGCCCCCCAAGAUCCGCCUGAAGCCCCACCGCCCGGGGGCCGGGGAGCGGGAGCCCGUCUACAGAGCCGAGCUGGUGGAGGCGCUCAACGGCCACGGGCGAGGACCCCGGGCCAGCUCACCCCCUCUCCUGGGCCACGGCUCCGCGGGCCGUGGGCCGGCGGACUCGUCUUCCGGAAGUUCUGGCGAGGACGAUGACUUCAAGCGGUGUCCCCAGGGCAAACCCCAGCAGGACGGCCUGGCGUUCCUCGCCGCCUGCCCUAGGAGGGGGACGGACUGUGCCGGCGAAUCUGUGUGGAGCAGCGACAGCCUGGACGAGUCCAAAUCGUGCAGCUCGGAAGUGCCGUCACCGGACACGUGUGACCUGUCCGGCGACGGUGCGUCUGUGAGGUCCUCGUCUGGGGCCGCGAGGCAGACGGUCCCGCCCCUGACGGUCAGGCUGCACACACAGAGCGUCUCCAAGUGCGUGACUGAGGACGGAAGGACCGUGGCCGUGGGGGACAUCGUGUGGGAUAUCCCUGUGUGUUUUGUAAUUCUGUGCUCAUGGACGUGACAAGGGUCCCACGUCAAAUCGGUGCAACCAGUCCCAUCUGGAGACGUCUGGCUCCGCCCUGGCGCCCCCAGUGUUGGCUGAUCUUCCUGAGUUUGCGGCAUAAGCGGGCACAGAUAUGGAGAUGGAGCCCCCUCUCCCCGCUUGGGCGUAAGCAGCGUCCACACCCCCCAGGUGCCCCACUGCGCCUCCGACCCGCACCAACCAGAUGCUGGUGGCCGUGUGCAGAGACCUUGUCCCCAUCCUGGCAGAGUCCCCGGGCCUACUGGCACCCUUGCGCCUUUCUAAGCCACGUCAAGAUGGGGUGUGGGCGGGGGUGUGAGCACAUAACCAGGCAGGAAGGUCCUUCAGGCCUCGGGGGAUCUGAGACUAUGACUGGACCCGGUAGUGGGAGUGCAGGUGUAGGGCAGACAGGCCCCCGAGAACCCCCAGGUUCUCCCCACGCCCUGCCCCUGGCACCGUGUGGCAAAGCCACAGCGGCUGCCUCGCGCCGUGCCUGCUGGUCGUUGCCUCUUGCUCAAGGCUGUUGGUCCGUGUCCCCCUCUUGGAGAAGCUCUCCCAGAGCCCCCUGUGCACAGCUGUGCCUGACAGGCCCCCAGCUCGGCAUGGUCACCCUGCACCCUUAUUUCCAUCAGGGCCCCUUUGACAAGCCACCCCUCCAUUCUGUGCUGCCCUGUGUGGGCUCCCCCUCAGGUAAGUAAGUUCUUGUGAGUUCAGACCCUCGCAGCAGGGGCCCGCGGCACCGGGGAACGGGGCUGUGGCACCCCAUCCCACACCUGGGGACGCUGGUUCGCGGGAGGCACAGAGCCAGGGUUCGCCCCCAACCGGGCCCUCCACUGCACAGCCAGCACCCUCCGCCCCGCCUAGGCCUUGGGGAGAACUGGUUGCCUGAUGUGCCCACCAGCCCGCAGCACCCCGGGCAAGAGAAGGUGCUUCCCAGCUGGAGGGGUAGCUGGAGUGGGGGAAGCCGCCCGGGAAGAGGAUCUGGGGCAGGUGGGCAGGUUGGCAUCUGCCCCGGGGCAUCUCUGGAAUAAGAACCCUGAGCUAGAGGCUCCCACGUCCACGUGGACAGAUCACGUGUAGCCCGGGCUGUCCUGGGGAUUCUGGACACCUCGACCUCAGCCCCGGGCCCUCCCCGGACAGAGGGGGAGCACUGGGAGCAGGGCGCCUGGGCCUCCGGACCAGAGGGUUCGGGCCACGCAUCAACUUCCAAAUAUCCUGGGGAAACUCCUUCAAACCACAGUGGUGCAGCCCUCCAUCCUGGAGGAGCCGGCAUUUCUGAUACCCGCAUUCCUGGGAGUCGUCCACUUCCGGUGGGCGUGACUGACCCUGAUUCUGAAGGCUUCCUGCCAGUGUGUCUGAAUUUCCCAGAGGAAAUAGCACUUCAGUGGCCUUGGGAUCCCCACACCUGGGCCGGGGUCUCUGUGGUGCUGCAGGAACCAUGGGGACCAAGCAGGUGGCUUCGGGCCCAGUUCUGUAGAGGAGGGUGCAUGGGGGCCACAGCCAAGGCCACACGGGUCUCCGCAGGGUUGAGGGGGUGGCCGCGCUUGGCCAAGAGCCAAGGCCAAAUGGCAGAGCUCUGUGUGUGUGUGUGUGUGUGUAUGUGUGUGUUGCCCAUGGAAGGCCGUGUGCUGUGGGGCUCUUGGGGCUGGAGCGGGGUCACAGACCCAGGACGUGAGCUUAGGUGGCCACUGUGUGACAGGCACUUCCGAGGGGGACUGGGCCGUGGGGGGGGGAGGGGUUGGUGGGGGUCCGCAUGGGGACGUUCUGCACACACCAUCAGGACGGUGGACAUCCGCGAUGCCCAGCCAGCGGCUGCCUCUCUUGCUUUGUUUUGUGACGCCUGGUGGUUCCCCCUUCUGCGUGUGGCUGCUGGCUGAUGUCACCGUGUUCAGAAGGCUUGUGGUUUGGGGAGACGGGCCUUCUUAGUUCUGGUCUUACGUGUUGGGAGUGGCAGCUCUGGUCGCCGUCACGGGACGUGGGACGCUGCCCAGCACCCGCCAUGCUGCCCACCCUCCGCCCACACAGCCCAGGCCCUGUAGGGGGAGGGGAGCCCUCCUGGUCACCCCCAUCUUCUCGACAAGCCCCAGCUGUGGACCCAGUCACUAGGGCGCCAGCGACUCGGGCAGGCAGAGCGGCCUCGGCUGACCUUAACCAUGGGGCCCGUGCUGGUGACCUCGGGGCCCCAUGGGGGACACUCCUGAUGGGGGACAAGCUCCUGGGAGGUCAGCCCGGACCAGUGAGGGGCAGACAGGGGGGAAGGGGGAAGGGGCUGUCCGGGCACUUGCGUGGUGGAGGUGGAGACAGGGCCCUGCCCAGAGACCCCGGAGCCUGGGGUGGGGGUGAGGGGAGGUGGGGCAGCUGCGCUGGGCAUUGGGUGUCUUCCUGCCUAGGAAGCCCCGGGAAGAACGAACUUUUCUGUGCGGCUGUGGCCGCCAGCAGCAGCCAGUGUAGUGAUCUCGCCUUUCCCAUUGUUCCCCGCAUUUUCCAGGGGGGCGGGUGGGAGGUACAGCAGGGGCUGGGGUGCUCUGGGGGGUCCCCCAGAACAUCCCUGCAUGACAAGGGACGGGCUCUGGGCCUGUUGGGCUGGGAGGAAGGAAGUGACCCGGCAGGGGUCCUGCGCAUUCUGAGGGGGGUUUCCUGGCUGCUGGGUACGAGGAGGGUGCAGGGGGCUCCGCCUUCUUCCCCAGAUUUCUCAAAACACCUGCUCUUCCCAUGGAGCCCGGCCAAGCCGGAGCGGCGGUGGGCGAGGGCACUAGGACAGACCCGUGACCACCCUGUUUGUCUUGUCGGGAGGGGGGACUCCUUGAAGGCUCCGUGUGAUGCACGAGACAGAAAGGGGCGAAAGGGGCGGGCUGGCCGCCGCCUCUGGAGCCUGUGGUGCGUUUUUCUAACGAGGCUCAGGGCUGAUGGAUGUUUAACGACAUCUCCAAAGGUCGUGCUGCUGACGGAGAGGGGCUUGGGCAGGUUUAAUUAUCUCCCGGGGUGGUGUGGUUCUCGAAGCGAAGCGUGCUUGCCUUUGAUGUGAGCCCCCAAAGCAUUCAACGGAAAGGGGCGGCCCGUGCGCCGAUUCCCGGGUGGUGCUGACCCCUCGGCCCCCAGCAGCUCCCGCUGUGACCGGCCGUGACCUCCCCGGAGCCCCCAUGCCCCUCCUCACCGUGUCUGCUGGGCCACUCAGCAACCUGAUCAUGGAGGUGUGGUUGCCCAAACCCCUGUCCGGGGUGGGCUGUCGGUCCCCUGUGCGGACGCCUGCAGAGGAGCUCAGCCUGGGUGGUCACAGCUGCUUCCUGGGCAGGGACAGAUGAAAAGGCAGAAAGAAAACGGUUCUGGGGGGAACGGGUUUGUGCAACAGGCCGCGCUCUGGCCAGUGUUUCUCCCUAAGGGACUGUUCAUCUUGUUUGGGAUCUGCGUGCUCAACGGUGCAGGACCUGGGACCCCGCCUCGUCUGCCCAGAGCGCGCAGCGGCUGUGGGGGGGGGGGCGGGCAGAGCCCCAUCCGGCUCCCGCAUCCGUGGAGAGUGGCUGUCACCCUCGUCCAGCUUCCCUGAGACACCCCCCAGGCAGAGCUCACUGGGAUCAGCACGCUUCCCGUGACACAGUGACUUGGAGUCAUGUUCUUCUGAGAGACAUUUUCUUGGGGACCCUGAGUCAGGGCCUCUCCCUGGCCAGGGAAGGGACUGCCAUCCCAGGUCAGAAACCCCUGCCCCUUGAGUGUAUGUUGCUCAGGCCUCCUCCCUGACGGGCCAGGGAACUGUGGAGCCCUCUGGAGCAGCCUUCCCUGCAGGGAGUGUGGUCGGGGCCAGGGUUGGGUGUUCAGGCCUGGACUUGCGGGGAGACUGUUUCCAGCAGAGGGCCUGGCAUCUCGGGGCACCUCGCUCCUGGGGCUCAGCCUGACGUCCGUCCAGCUGCACUGUGGUGGAGUCUACGACCAGGGAGGCCUAGGGCCCCGUGGGGUCCCCUUCUCAGGCCCUUUAGAGUCAGGGCUCCCCCUUGGGGACAUCUCGAUUCCAGGUGUCUGUCCUCCAGGACAGAGAGGGGGUAACUGUGGUUUGGAGUCACCCGGUCUGGGGUGCUUUGUUCUGGUCACCCUGGGAUGUGGGUUUGUGUCCUGGCCUCGAGGCUUAGGCGAGUGACCUCGGACAGGGUUGGGAGCCUGAGCCCCUGUCUACAAGGCAGGGGUGGUGAUGGCCCCUCAGCCCUAAGCACCAGGGCCGUGGUCAUCUCCACCCUCACACCCCCAUCCCCUCUCUGCACCCACCGCCCCUCCUGCCCCCCGGGGGGCUGCUGGCCACCCCCAGAGCCCUGUGUCAGGGCCAACGCGGGUCUGGUUUGCUGCAGCCACUGAGAGAGCUCCUCUCCCGGUCACCAGAAUCCGGCCAUUUUGGACAGAGGAGGAAGGGCCGUCCCCUGCCCCCCGCCCAGCCGGGCCACUCUCGGGUGGGAUUGUUGCUGUCAGCCCUUCUGCCCCAGGGUCUUUCCUGGGCCCCUCGGGAACCUGACGCCGGGUUGGGACCUGGACGGUCAGUGCGGCUGAGCCUCGGUGAUGUCGCGGGGAGGGGCCCCCAACCACGGACACCUGUCGCAAGGGCAGCAGCCUUGUGUUGGAAGGUCUGGGAGGUCAGUGUCUUGUCCCCUCCACCCAGCCCCCGACCUGGGGCCAGCCGCGUCCUCCGGGGGGGUGGGGUGGGGGGGUUUGCUUUGGGCUUAAGCUCCUCCCAGCCACCCGCUUGCACCACCUCUGUGCCCCUCGAGGGCACGGGUGGGUCCUGGGGCCUCCAGGCCAGCCCCCCAGGGCCGGUGUGGUGUGGACGGGGCUGACCUGGGCGCACGUGUCCACACGCGCGUGCGCACACACACACACACACAGUCAUUUGGCUGAGUCUAGAUGCAGUGCUGGUGUUAGACGUCGCAGCCCAUCCGUGCGGAUACCCGUGAGUAAAUUUCAUUUUUGUUCAGCUCUAUUCUCUGCAGAGUUGAAUUUGCCUCAUCCUUUGGCUGCUUAGUUUUUAUGUUCUUCUCACUUAUUUGUCCCCAGCUAGGAGAGAUCAAACCCGUCAGGGCCUUCAGACGGCGACGAUCACUGUGUGAUGUGUGAACAGGCUUUGCCACCACACACGGGCCUAACGUGUCGCGGCUUUGGCGUUCCUUAUGAUUGUGUGUGCUCCCGGGCCGUGGCGCCGGCCGGGGCUGGGGUGUCCGUGCGGCCCCUCCCCUGCCACGAUACGUCGGGUGCCCUGAGCUGUGUGUCUGUCUCUGUUUCUCUGUCUCUCUUUCUCCCCCCCCUUCUUUCUCUGUCUCUCUCUCUCUCUCUCUCUCCCCCUCCCCCCCAUCUCUCUCACACACACGCAGGGCCUCUCCGCGUGGCGGCCGAGCCUUCUCCCAGCGUGGCGGUCUCAGGGCAAUCUGGGCCUUGUCGCGGCAUCUCCAUCUGGGGGUCUGAGGCAGGACUGGGGCAGCAUCACUUCUGCUUGUUUGGUCCGAGCGCAUCGAAGGGGGGUGGGUGGGGGAGCCCGGCCCCUCCUGGUGGGAGGGCAGCCGUCUGCGCCCCGUGGGCUCUCCUGGCCGGGCCGGACUGUCUCCUGUCUGCUGGACGCCAGCUCCCCUCGCCCUCCAGGACCUCCUGUGACCGUGUGGCCCUGCAGACCUGCCACGUGUCCCUCCACCCCCCGACGAAAGUGCAGAGAACACGUUGCCCCCGGUCACCAGACUCGGGCCAGCUCCCGUCUGGCAGGCGUGGCUGCUGUCCCCGUGCGGGGCCGGGAGCCGGGGCUGAGGUCACCGACGGUGAGGGCGCGGCUGUUCUCCUGGAGCUUCUGACUUUGGGGGUGCCCUCCGCAUCACCUGUUCCGUCUGAGGGGCCCCGUGUGCCUUCUGGCCAGCUGCCUGCAGAAAUGCGCCAGGCCCACGGCGGCCAGCCUGCUAGGGGGUCCCCAGAGGGGAGCAGGUGUGUGUGGGGAGGAGGACAGCCCCCAGGAGCACCGCGGCUCCUCCCCGCUGAACGUCUUUAUCCCCCGACUCAGGCUUUAGCUCCUGUGGUUUGUGAAGUUCCAGGAGCCCACGACGCCCUUCCUGCUGCUGCCUCGCCCACUGGGGCACCUAGCAGGGGCGAGGCCUGCCACCCCGCGUCCAGGUCCUGGGCCAGGCCCCCUCAGGCCCGCAGGUUUCCAGAAACCAGCUUGCAUGUGUGGGGCGCUUCCUCCCCAAGCCCUCGGCACGGGGUCUCUGUGCACUUGAGAACCCGGAACCUGCCCGGCCUCCCCCAUGAUCCUCCCAAAGCUGGGGGCCCGCGGGCACCCUGGCGGUGAGGGCCUGGGGAGGGGAGCCACUCCGGGAAUGCGGGAGACUUCCAAAGGAAAACAGCUUGGCCUGUUGUUUGUAGGAGCUGCUCCUGUCUCCUUUCUGUCACUUUAAAGACCAAAAAGAAAAAGAAAGAAACAGAAAACGA